GUGAUCAGCUGGUGGAAAUAACCGCACAUGAGGAACCAGAGCAGGUGGUCCACUGAAGUGCGCACAGAUCUCCACAGAUUCUGUUUGCAGUUUCUCCGGUACUCAGGCGCUAUGAGCUCCGUCCCAGCAACGAGUCCUGGAACUCCGAGACGCAGACACACAGUGCUCCAGGAAUCAUCGUGUGCCGCUGGGCCAUUACAUUUCAUCUUGCAAGCUUGGGAUGGUCGUGUUGGAUACACAGGCUUGUGUUUACUAAAGACACAUUUUGAACUGUAACACCAGGUUCAAGUUCUCUGAACAUUUAUGGCCUUUAAUAACUUCACGUUUGUACAUGUUGAAGACUGUCAGAAUUCAUUUAGGUGAUUAAACCCCAGUACAUAUGUUUCUAAUACUGAAUUUUGACAUGGAGUCUCAUGAGGAGUGUGUCCACAUCGUCUUUGGUUGACUGAUGUCCUCACAGCAGUGGGGUGGUGGUGGUGCACAUAGUAGAGUGCCCUUAUUAGAGAGAGAAGUGACAUGACAAGUAAAAAAAAUAAAAUCGGUCACAUGA